GAGAGAGAGGAAAAAUUUACCAAUACCAACACUUUACUGGAGAGUGCCAAACAGUACUUAUCAUCACUCAAAAGGUCUGAUGGACAAUUGCUCAGUAAUUCGAAAAGACACACAACUACUACAGGUUUUGUUGCAACCAUAUCAUCUCUGUAGGAACUUAUGCCACGUUUGUUGAGUAAUAAAAGUUUCAUAGUCACUUAGAAGUUUUCACAGGACCAUGUGGAAUUCUUCUUCAAUGCUAUAAAAAGAGCAGGUGGAUGGAACAAGAACCCAAAUGUCCAACAGUUUUGGCCAGCAUUCAGGAAACUGGUGAUGCACAGUGGUGCGGUAACAGACAACACUGGCAAUAUGGUGAAGCUGCAUGCUUCAGAUAGCAUAGCUUGCUCUACACUAUCUCUGGAUUUCUUGGGAUCAUCAAACGACACCACAGAGAAAGAUGAUCCCUUUUCCAGUUAAGAUCAAGUGAUGAUGGAACAUGAUCAUGCAAGCUGGACUCGGUCAGAACACAAACCAUUAAUUGAUAAUGCCACCACAUACACUGUUGAAUGGACUCUCCAAAAGGUGCUACCAAAGCUGCAGUGUGAUCACUGUGGAGAUAGUAUCUUUCUGACUGUGCCUCAGCAAUGUAACGAUACUUAUCAUCUGCUGAAGUGUAAAAUUAAUGGUGGACUAGUCAUCACA